UACGUAGGGUGCGAGCGUUAAUCGGAAUUACUGGGCGUAAAGCGUGCGCAGGCGGUUUUGUAAGCCAGAUGUGAAAGCCCCGGGCUCAACCUAGGAAUGGCAUUUGGGACUGCAAGGCUUGAGUGCGGCAGAGGAGACUGGAAUUCCUGGUGUAGCAGUGAAAUGCGUAGAGAUCCGGAGGAACACCAAAGGCGAAGGCAGUGUCCCGGGAAGUACCUGACGCUCAGGUGCGAAAGCCAGGGGAGCGAACGGG
rnacentral:rRNA from 1 species